GAUGAACGCUGGCGGCGUGCCUAAUACAUGCAAGUCGAGCGAACAGACGAGGAGCUUGCUCCUCUGACGUUAGCGGCGGACGGGUGAGUAACACGUGGAUAACCUACCUAUAAGACUGGGAUAACUUCGGGAAACCGGAGCUAAUACCGGAUAAUAUAUUGAACCGCAUGGUUCAAUAGUGAAAGACGGUUUUGCUGUCACUUAUAGAUGGAUCCGCGCCGCAUUAGCUAGUUGGUAAGGUAACGGCUUACCAAGGCAACGAUGCGUAGCCGACCUGAGAGGGUGAUCGGCCACACUGGAACUGAGACACGGUCCCGACUCCUACGGGAGGCCGCAGGAGGGAAUCUUCCGCAAUGGGCGAAAGCCUGACGGAGCCACGCCGCGUGAGUGAUGAAGGUCUUCGGAUCGUAAAACUCUGUUAUUAGGGAAGAACAAAUGUGUAAGUAACUAUGCCCGUCUUGACGGUACCUAAUCAGAAAGCCACGGCUAACUACGU
rnacentral:rRNA from 1 species